GUCUACAGCCAUGCCACCCUGAACAAGCCCGAUGUCUGAUCUCAGAAGCUAAGCAGGGUCGGGCCUGGUUAGUAUUUGGAUGAGAGACCACCUAGGAAGACCAGGUGCUGUAGGCA
rnacentral:rRNA from 1 species